GGAAGGUACAGCUCAGUGGUAGAGCACGUGCUUAGCAUGCACAAGGUCCUGGGUUCAAUUCCCAGUACUCCA
rnacentral:tRNA from 1 species